rnacentral:rRNA from 1 species
GUGAAAUUGUUGAAAGGGAAACGAUUGAAGUCAGUCGUGCCGGCGGGGGAGUUCAGCGAAUUCCGUGGAAUGAGCGUACUUCCUCGCAUGGCAGGUCAGCGUCAGUUUCGCGCGUCGUGAAAUGGUUCUGGUAAGGUGGCUCUCUUCGGGGAGUGUUAUAGACCGGAGCAGAUGCGGGGGGGCGCGAGACUGAGGAUUGCAGCGAACACCCUUCGGGGCGUGGCGACCGACCCCUGCUUCAUCACCCUUGUCCGAUAGCGUGCUAACGGGCCGGGGAGCGGUGGGUGCACCGGGUUGGCAAGCCGGCGGCUUCGCUAAGGACGCUGACGUAAUGGCUUUAAACGAC